ACGGUAUUAUGUAAUUCUGUAAUGGGUGCAAGCAAGAAAUUUCUCAAAAAAAAAAAAAAAAAGGAAUACAAACAAAUUAGAACAGUUUAUUAAACUAAACAAAAGCAAAUUAACGAGAAGAAAUAAAUAGUACAUGACAAACAAUAAUGGAUCAACUCCAUAAUACCAUCUCAUAAAUUGAACACAAAAUGAAAUACACAGAAACAAUUACUACUACCACCACCACACCCAAAAACAUAAUGAUACUUCAACUCUCCCAAACCUGUGUUUGUGUGUAUAUAUGUAUAUCUUAAUCAAGGACUGGUUGUAGCAGGAGGAGGUGAGAGGAGGGGGAUAGAGGGAAUUGUAGUUGGGAUNNNNNNNNNNNNNNNNNNNNNNNNNNNUGAUGAAGUGAUAAAGAGAACCAAGAUGAAGAAACUACGCGAAGAGGCCAUGAUCAUGCAAUUAAACAAGUAUAAAAACAAUCUUUGGAAUAAGAGGCUAAUUUUAAGGGUUAGAAGUUUAAGUUUAGUUUGUGUGUGGAGGAAGUGAAGGAGGUAUUGGGUUUAUAUAAAAAGAUAAUUGAUUGUUUAUAAUUAAAAUUUCAGUAUAUCUACAUGGAGUUGUUCACCUUCUUACCCAUUUUUUUUUUUUUUGAAAUGCUCUCAUGUUUG
rnacentral:lncRNA from 1 species